UAGUACAACAAAAUUCAAUGAUGGUGGGUCGUAGAUGAAUAGUAAAGCUGCAUGCAAAUAUUGCAUAGCCCCAAGACGCAAUAGGAAGAGUGGUGCGCAUCAAUAAUGUUCGAGCGACAAGCUAAAGUUGCUUGGUCGUAGCCUCGGUGAGACCGUAUUGCGUGUGAACAUGGGGUAUAGGACACUUCAACUUACAUCCCGAUGAACUUCUUUAAAGAAUGGGUAGUGAGCCCGUAAAAGGAUAAGCAGCAUAAGCAGUAGAUAAUAGUGUAACACGUGACCAGUGUGCUAACACUUCAACCAACACCAUAAAGCAUAAAAGGUGUCCGCAAGUUGGUUGUAUCUAUCUACAUAAUUUUAUGUAAGAAUAGAAUGUUCACUUUUGUGUUAUUUAACAUAGGAGGGUCUCACUCCUAAUUUAGCUAAAGAAUAGGCUUUCAAAAUGAACAAUGAGCAUUGCAGGGGGCCAAUGCGACAUCGAGGAAAGGCCGGUGCACCUCAAUUGCUUGAGGAAUUGACCGGAUGACCUCCAGAAAGUUGGAGUCGUGUUCGGCUGACGUCAAUGUCCCCCGGGUCAUCACCAUGCUUCAUGGUGAUGCUAGGUCUCGAAUGUCUUCGUUUUAAGCGGAAGAAUGGAUGUCCAUGAGAAUUUCUCAAAAUUUGGAUCAUUAUAUCUCUUCCAGGUUGACCAAUUUAGUCAAACCAAAGCCUAUAUGAGUCAAUGUCCCAAAUAUCAUGUUUGGCGACAACAUGGGAUUCGAUAUUCGAAUCGUAGUGACAUACAAUCCACUAGAUUGACUCAUGAAUUUCCCUAAGAUGCGCUUCAGUCCGCAUUCAUGAGAAGGUAUACACAAAAGAAUUCUUGUUCAUUCUCACAAUGUGUUUUCAAAUGAAAACCAUUAGCAUGAAUGUCUUUAAAGCUCAACAUGGUUCCUUAGAAUGUUGUGCAUAGUUCCACUAUCUGCGAAGCACUCAAUGUCUCUAUGAGACAUAACUACAAGGAGUAGAUAGGCGAGUAAAUAAUUCUACUUGAACCAUUUAGAAGGAUUGAAAGAAGCUACGAAAAGCUGCAAUCCCGAGAGUGCAUAAAAGUUUCCGCGUAGAAUGACCUCUGCGCACUAAAACAGCCAUAACUUCUUCGUUAAAAUAGAUAUGGACGAACAGUGAAAAUUUCUGAAAACUAGACUCAUAGAGCUUUCCAAUGAUAUAAAGCUCACUGUCUGGUUCGUCCGGAUCUGUUCACAAAGCUCAAAAGAAGUUGAUUGUCCAGAAGGGACAGAUUGCUGUUUUUCGCAGAUUUGGCAUGUGCG
rnacentral:lncRNA from 1 species